rnacentral:tRNA from 2 species
CGGGGUGUAGUAUAACGGCUAUUAUGCGCGCAUGGGGUGCGUGCGAUCCGGGUUCAAUUCCCGGCACCCCGACCA